AUUCAAGUAGCUUAAAAUAGAGCAUAACAGUGAAGAUGUUAGGGUAAUUGUGUAAUUCUUGGAUG
rnacentral:tRNA from 2 species